rnacentral:rRNA from 1 species
AAAAAAGGUAAGCUACUAAGAGCGAAUGGUGGAUGCCUUGACUGGUAAAGGCGAUGAAGGACGUACUAGACUGCGAUAAGCUACGGGGAGCUGUCAAGAAGCUUUGAUCCGUAGAUUUCCGAAUGGGGCAACCCAAUGUAUAGAGAUAUACAUUACCUAUAUAGGAGCGAACGAGGGGAAUUGAAACAUCUUAGUACCCUCAGGAAAAGAAAUCAAUAGAGAUUGCGUCAGUAGCGGCGAGCGAAAGCGCAAGAGGGCAAACCCAGUGCUUGCACUGGGGGUUGUAGGACUGCAAUGUGCAAGAGGUAAGUUUAGCAGAACAUUCUGGAAAGUAUAACCAUAGAGGGUGAUAGUCCCGUAUGCGAAAAACAAACCUUAGCUAGCAGUAUCCUGAGUAGGGCGGGACACGAGGAAUCCUGUCUGAAUCCGGGUCGACCACGAUCCAACCCUAAAUACUAAUACCAGAUCGAUAGUGCACAAGUACCGUGAGGGAAAGGUGAAAAGAACUGAGGUGAUCAGAGUGAAAUAGAACCUGAAACCAUUUGCUUACAAUCAUUCAGAGCCCUAUGUAGCAAUACAGGGUGAUGGACUGCCUUUUGCAUAAUGAGCCUGCGAGUUGUGGUGUCUGGCAAGGUUAAGCAAACGCGAAGCCGUAGCGAAAGCGAGUCUGAAUAGGGCGCUUAGUCAGAUGCUGCAGACCCGAAACGAAGUGAUCUAUCCAUGAGCAAGUUGAAGCUAGUGUAAGAACUAGUGGAGGACUGAACCCAUAGGCGUUGAAAAGCCCCGGGAUGACUUGUGGAUAGGGGUGAAAGGCCAAUCAAACUUCGUGAUAGCUGGUUCUCUCCGAAAUAUAUUUAGGUAUAGCGUUGUGUCGUAAUAUAAGGGGGUAGAGCACUGAAUGGGCUAGGGCAUACACCAAUGUACCAAACCCUAUCAAACUCCGAAUACCUUAUAUGUAAUCACAGCAGUCAGGCGGCGAGUGAUAAAAUCCGUCGUCAAGAGGGAAACAACCCAGACUACCAGCUAAGGUCCCUAAAUCUUACUUAAGUGGAAAACGAUGUGAAGUUACUUAAACAACCAGGAGGUUGGCUUAGAAGCAGCCAUCCUUUAAAGAAAGCGUAAUAGCUCACUGGUCUAGUGAUUUUGCGCGGAAAAUAUAACGGGGCUAAAGUAAGUACCGAAGCUGUAGACUUGCACACAACUUAGAUUAUUUAAGUUUAGAAUAUGAGAAACUAAGUUAUAUGUUUAGUUAUAUUUUUACUGAUUUUUAUAGAGUAAAGAUAGAAAUAAAACUUAGUAAAAUCAGUAAAAAUAUUCUUAGACUAAAGUUAAGUAGUUUAAGUUGUGUGCAAGUGGUAGGAGAGCGUUCUAUUUGCGUCGAAGGUAUACCGGUAAGGAGUGCUGGAGCGAAUAGAAGUGAGCAUGCAGGCAUGAGUAGCGAUAAUUAAUGUGAGAAUCAUUAACGCCGUAAACCCAAGGUUUCCUACGCGAUGCUCGUCAUCGUAGGGUUAGUCGGGUCCUAAGUCGAGUCCGAAAGGGGUAGACGAUGGCAAAUUGGUUAAUAUUCCAAUACCAACAUUAGUGUGCGAUGGAAGGACGCUUAGGGCUAAGGGGGCUAGCGGAUGGAAGUGCUAGUCUAAGGUCGUAGGAGGUUAUACAGGCAAAUCCGUAUAACAAUACUCCGAGAACUGAAAGGCUUUUUGAAGUCUUCGGAUGGAUAGAAGAACCCCUGAUGCCGUCGAGCCAAGAAAAGUUUCUAAGUUUAGCUAAUGUUGCCCGUACCGUAAACCGACACAGGUGGGUGGGAUGAGUAUUCUAAGGCGCGUGGAAGAACUCUCUUUAAGGAACUCUGCAAAAUAGCACCGUAUCUUCGGUAUAAGGUGUGGUUAGCUUUGUAUUAGGAUUUACUCCGAAAGCAAGGAAACUUACAACAAAGAGUCCCUCCCGACUGUUUACCAAAAACACAGCACUCUGCUAACUCGUAAGAGGAUGUAUAGGGUGUGACGCCUGCCCGGUGCUCGAAGGUUAAUUGAUGGGGUUAGCAUUAGCGAAGCUCUUGAUCGAAGCCCGAGUAAACGGCGGCCGUAACUAUAACGGUCCUAAGGUAGCGAAAUUCCUUGUCGGUUAAAUACCGACCUGCAUGAAUGGCGUAACGAGAUGGGAGCUGUCUCAAAGAGGGAUCCAGUGAAAUUGUAGUGGAGGUGAAAAUUCCUCCUACCCGCGGCAAGACGGAAAGACCCCGUGGACCUUUACUACAGCUUGACACUGCUACUUGGAUAAGAAUGUGCAGGAUAGGUGGGAGGCUUUGAGUAUAUGACGCCAGUUGUAUAUGAGCCAUUGUUGAGAUACCACUCUUUCUUAUUUGGGUAGCUAACCAGCUUGAGUUAUCCUCAAGUGGGACAAUGUCUGGUGGGUAGUUUGACUGGGGCGGUCGCCUCCCAAAUAAUAACGGAGGCUUACAAAGGUUGGCUCAGAACGGUUGGAAAUCGUUCGUAGAGUAUAAAGGUAUAAGCCAGCUUAACUGCAAGACAUACAAGUCAAGCAGAGACGAAAGUCGGUCUUAGUGAUC